CCCACAUCCUGAUUGAUCAUGGCAGUYAUGGGCAGCAGCUGCAGAAGAUCUCCCUGAUGAGUUACUGGGCUUUAUAAGGCUGGCCGUGAGAUCAGAUCCUCGCUGGAACAUAGCACACACUUGCUUGGACCGCUUGUGGGUUAAGACCCCUCGUGGAUCCUCCUGUCCCRACGUCUGCCCACCUUGCUCACCUGCUGCACUGUCUGUCUGCCUACCUACCUAUCUUCUGCUCCACCACGGAAAAUCAAAAACACUCACCUGUAAAUACUCACCUGGAACCUUGUGCACUCUUGGAUUCUCGCCUCUCCUCCAUGCUUGGGGACCUCCUCGCAUCUAGUUACCUGGACCAAGAUUACACCUCCUGUAAAUAAAUAUUCAUUUAAAUUUUA